rnacentral:rRNA from 1 species
GAUGAACGCUAGCGACAGGCUUAACACAUGCAAGUCGAGGGGCAGCGAGGGCGUAGCAAUACGCCUGUCGGCGACCGGCGCACUGGUGAGUAACACGUAUGCGACCUGCCCCCUACAGGGGUAUAACCCGUAGAAAUGCGGACUAAUCCCCCAUAGUCCUGGGUGCUGCAUGGCAUUCAGGGGAAAGGGUUUCCGGUAGGGGAUGGGCAUGCGGCGCAUUAGCUAGUUGGCGGGGCAACGGCCCACCAAGGCGACGAUGCGUAGGGGUUCUGAGAGGAAGGUCCCCCACACUGGUACUGAGACACGGACCAGACUCCUACGGGAGGCAGCAGUGAGGAAUAUUGGUCAAUGGGCGCAGGCCUGAACCAGCCAAGUCGCGUGAGGGAAGACGGUCCUACGGAUUGUAAACCUCUUUUGUCGGGGAGUAACGUGCGGGACGCGUCCCGUAUUGAGAGUACCCGAAGAAAAGCAUCGGCUAACUCCGUG